AACCAACGCUGGCGGCAUGCCUAACACAUGCCAGUCGAACGAGACCUUCGGGUCUAGUGGCGCACGGGUGCGUAACGCGUGGGAACCUGCCCUUAGGUUCGGAAUAACUCCCCGAAAGGGGUGCUAAUACCGGAUAAUGUCUUCGGACCAAAGAUUUAUCGCCUUUGGAUGGGCCCGCGUUGGAUUAGCUAGUUGGUAGGGUAAAAGCCUACCAAGGCGACGAUCCAUAGCUGGUCUGAGAGGAUGAUCAGCCACACUGGGACUGUGACACGGCCCAGACUCCUACGGGAGGCAGCAGUGGGGAAUAUUGGACAAUGGGCGAAAGCCUGAUCCAGCAAUGCCGCGUGAGUGAUGAAGGCCUUAGGGUUGUAAAGCUCUUUUACCCGGGAUGAUAAUGACAGUACCGGGAGAAUAAGCUCCGGCUAACUCCGUG
rnacentral:rRNA from 1 species